UAAAAGGGUGUCUGUCGUACUAAGUGGCACUUGGGGCCUCGGCUCCUCGGGGUAUGGCCAUCAAGACAUACCCGACACAUAAUUUUUUUUAAUUACCUGGGAAGUUCGUAUGCUUUGCGCUCGGACGCCCAG